UACGUAGGGGUCGAGCGUUGUCCGGAGUUACUGGGCGUAAAGCGCGCGUAGGCGGGGUCGUUAAGUCGGGGGUGAAAUCCCGAGGCUCAACCUCGGAACUGCCUUCGAUACUGGCGACCUUGAGUCCGGGAGAGGUGAGUGGAACUCCUAGUGUAGAGGUGAAAUUCGUAGAUAUUAGGAAGAACACCAAGUGGCGAAGGCGGCUCACUGGCCCGGUACUGACGCUGAUGUGCGGAAAAGCGUGGGGAGCAAACAGG
rnacentral:rRNA from 1 species